UGGAAGGUGCUCCUUGAACGGCUCGGACAGGUCCCUCGACAAGACCCAUCCUCGCUGGUCAGGAGCACUUUUCAGUUGAUCAACACUCGCUCACGCCGCUCCGCCGUGAAAG
rfam:Blastococcus saxobsidens DD2 complete genome